AACGAACGCUGGCGGCAGGCUUAACACAUGCAAGUCGAACGCCCCGCAAGGGGAGUGGCAGACGGGUGAGUAACGCGUGGGGAUCUACCUAGUUCUACGGAACAACAGAGGGAAACUUCUGCUAAUACCGUAUACGCCCUAAGGGGGAAAGAUUUAUCGGAAUUAGAUGAGCCCGCGUAAGAUUAGCUAGUUGGUGGGGUAAUGGCCUACCAAGGCGACGAGCUUUAGCUGGUCUGAGAGGAUGAUCAGCCACAUUGGGACUGAGAAACGGCCCAGACUCCUACGGGAGGCAGCAGUGGGGAAUAUUGGACAAUGGGCGUAAGCCUGAUCCAGCCAUGCCGCGUGAGUGAUGAAGGCCUUAGGGUUGUAAAGCUCUUUCAGUGGGGACGAUAAUGACGGUACCCACAGAAGAAGCCCCGGCUAACUUCGUGCCAGCCGCCGCCGUAACAC
rnacentral:rRNA from 1 species